rnacentral:rRNA from 1 species
ACUGCUAUCGGAUUGAUACUAAGCCAUGCGAGUCUUUGUAGCAAUACAAGGCAGACGGCUCAGUAACACGUAGUCAAUCUACCCUAUGGACGGGGAUAACCUCGGGAAACUGAGAAUAAUACCCGAUAGAUCAUUAUGCCUGGAAUGGUUUAUGGUCGAAAUGAUUUAUCGCCGUAGGAUGGGACUGCGGUCUAUCAGCUUGUUGGUGAGGUAAUGGCCCACCAAGGCUAUAACAGAUACGGGCUCUGAGAGGAGAAGCCCGGAGAUGGGUACUGAGACACGGACCCAGGCCCUAUGGGGCGCAGCAGGCGAGAAAACUUUGCAAUGUGCGAAAGCACGACAAGGUUAAUCCGAGUGUUUUCUGCUAAAGAAAUCUUUUGUCAGUCCUAAAAACACUGAUGAAUAAGGGGUGGGCAAGUUCUGGUGUCAGCCGCCGCGGUAAAACCAGCACCUCAAGUGGUCAGGAGGAUUAUUGGGCCUAAAGCAUCCGUAGCCGGCCGUGUAAGUUUUCGGUUAAAUCCAUACGCUCAACGUAUAGGCUGCCGGGAAUACUGCACAGCUAGGGAGUGGGAGAGGUAGACGGUACUCGGUAGGAAGGGGUAAAAUCCUUUGAUCUAUUGAUGACCACCUGUGGCGAAGGCGGUCUACUAGAGCACGUCCGACGGUGAGGGAUGAAAGCUGGGGGAGCAAACCGGAUUAGAUACCCGGGUAGUCCCAGCUGUAAACAAUGCAAAUUCAGUGAUGCACUGGCUUGUGGCCAGUGCAGUGCCGCAGGGAAGCCGUUAAGUUUGCCGCCUGGGAAGUACGGAAGCAAGUAUGAAACUUAAAGGAAUUGGCGGGGGAGCACCACAAGGGGUGAAG